rnacentral:snRNA from 1 species
GUGAUUACUUCUGCAGCAUAUCUGCUCAUAUUGGGAUCUUACAGAGAUUAACAUGGCCCCUGCACAAGGAUGACAUGCAAAUUUUUGAAGCCCUUCAUAUAAAG